rnacentral:rRNA from 1 species
CCUACGGGUGGCAGCAGUGAGGAAUAUUGGUCAAUGGACGAGAGUCUGAACCAGCCAAGUAGCGUGAAGGAUGACUGCCCUAUGGGUUGUAAACUUCUUUUAUAUGGGAAUAAAAUGUUCCACGUGUGGGAUUUUGUAUGUACCAUAUGAAUAAGGAUCGGCUAACUCCGUGCCAGCAGCCGCGGUAAUACGGAGGAUUCGAGCGUUAUCCGGAUUUAUUGGGUUUAAAGGGAGCGUAGGUGGAUUGUUAAGUCAGUUGUGAAAGUUUGCGGCUCAACCGUAAAAUUGCAGUUGAAACUGGCAGUCUUGAGUACAGUAGAGGUGGGCGGAAUUCGUGGUGUAGCGGUGAAAUGCUUAGAUAUCACGAAGAACUCCGAUUGCGAAGGCAGUUCACUGGACUGCAACUGACACUGAGGCUCGAAAGUGUGGGUAUCAAACAGGAUUAGAUACCCGAGUAGUC